rnacentral:rRNA from 1 species
GAUGAACGCUAGCGGCAGGCUUAACACAUGCAAGUCGAGGGGUAUGCCGAUUUAUCGGCAGAGACCGGCGCACGGGUGCGUAACGCGUAUGCAAUCUACCUUUCACAGAGGGAUAGCCCAGAGAAAUUUGGAUUAAUACCUCAUAGUAUAGCAAUUUCGCAUGAAACCACUAUUAAAGUUCCAACGGUGAAAGAUGAGCAUGCGUCCCAUUAGCUAGUUGGUAAGGUAACGGCUUACCAAGGCUACGAUGGGUAGGGGUCCUGAGAGGGACGAUCCCCCACACUGGUACUGAGACACGGACCAGACUCCUACGGGAGGCAGCAGUGAGGAAUAUGGACAAUGGGCGCAAGCCUGAUCCAGCCAUGCCGCGUGCAGGA